GGAAUUUUGAUCUGGGCUAGAUGACGCUAGCGGGAGGCCUAACACAUGCAAGCCGAGCGGUAGAGUGUCUUCGGAUACUUGAGAGCGGCGUACGGGUGCGGAACACGUGUGCAACCUGCCUUUAUCUGAGGGAUAGCCUUUCGAAAGGAAGAUUAAUACCUCAUAAUAUACUGAUUGGCAUCAAUUAGUAUUGAAAGCUCCGGCGGAUAGAGAUGGGCACGCGCAAGAUUAGAUAGUUGGUGAGGUAACGGCUCACCAAGUCAAUGAUCUUUAGGGGGCCUGAGAGGGUGAUCCCCCACACUGGUACUGAGACACGGACCAGACUCCUACGGGAGGCAGCAGUGAGGAAUAUUGGACAAUGGGUGCAAGCCUGAUCCAGCCAUCCCGCGUGAAGGACGACGGCCCUAUGGGUUGUAAACUUCUUUUGUACAGGGAUAAACCUACUCUCGUGAGGGUAGCUGAAGGUACUGUACGAAUAAGCACCGGCUAACUCCGUGCCAGCCGCCGCGGUAAUUCGUCGUGACUGGGAACACCCCCUGGGCGA
rnacentral:rRNA from 1 species